UUUAUCACUUAGAAAGAACUUAUAAAUACAUUUAAAUCAUAACAAGAACAUUCUCCUAAUGUUUCCUUACCCAUCUACUCCGACAUAAAUGGGUAAAAUUAUCCAUCUCUUUAGGAGAGAAUAGCAAGAACGAGCCUUUAGCCAACAAAUAUUUUUAUUGAUGUAAGAAUCUCUACAAGAGUUUUUAGGUAGAAAAUAAGAUGUGCUCCAACUAAAACUUAUUAUUCCUUUUGAUGUAUAAGGAAGCCUAAUAUAAGCAAAUAAAAAAUAAACAUUAUCUUACAUAUCCCACUAAUCUAAAUAUAGUAAAGCCCUAUAUAGGCACACAUUCCUAUUCUAGGUACACUUAUUUUCUAAUACAAAUGAAAUUUAAAUCACCCUUUGUUCAAAUUAGGCCCCACAAACAUCUGAUAAAGCCUAAAAAAUGAGAACCUAAAUAUAUUGUUUGCAUGUGACACCAUGCAGAAGCUGAUGGUUGUGCAACCUGUUUGCGACUUCCAAGCAGGUGGGUGAGCAUCUACUAAGCUUAUUGCAAGUAUGUCGGUAAUCUCUUUGUAGCUGUUUGUCAAAAAAUUGGAUAUAUAGAUUUUAGGCAAACCUUUCUAGUAGUUUUAUGGUAAACCAUGCUAGAUAAUUUUGUAGAGAUGGUAGUAAGUGGAAAUUUCUUGUAAAUGUCAUCAAAAGUCAUUUGUUCAUGUAGGUUUUAAAGGUGUUAAUGGAAAGCUCAAAAUAUCCUUCAUCCAUAUACAAGUUGACAUUGUUUUUCUUUUU
rnacentral:lncRNA from 1 species